UUCCUUUUCUUAUCGGUUACACCACCCCUCUUCUGAAAUUAUGCUAACUU
rnacentral:rRNA from 1 species